GCUUGAUGGCUCAGUGGUAGAGCAGUAGUCUAAUAAACGUGAGGUCCUGGGUUCGAACCCAAGUCCAUGCG
rnacentral:tRNA from 1 species